rnacentral:lncRNA from 1 species
UACUGGGACUGGGCUUUUCCUUCUCUGUGGUAAUAAAUAAUAAAACACAGUGUAAUACAGGAAGAGGUAGACAAGUGAGAGAGAAGAAAAGCAAGCAAAGAAAGAUGCAUCCUGCCAAACAGAAAUAAUAUGAAAGCGCAUAAUCCAGUGAUGCCGUUUCUGGAUAAUACAGAGGGUACAGGAAAAGAUGACAGACUGGGCAUAAAGAAGUGCUGCACAUUCCAGAGCCUACUAGAAUUCAGCUUCAUCUGA